rnacentral:lncRNA from 1 species
GGGAACAGAGGGCCGCAGCGGGGGAGGAGCAGAUGGCGGGGGAAUCUACGGAGGAGAAGAGAACGAAGAAGAUACGGAGGGAGAAGGUUGAUUUUGCACAUUCGUUUCUAAAAAUAUUCCACUCACGAAUUAAUCCAUGGAAGAAUUAUAUGUAUCCAGUUUUACCAAAGCUGUUGGAGAAGAGCACAAGAGUUAUCUAAAAAUCUUCUCUCUAAACAAAUUUUAGGUCACCAGUUUUACCAAAGCUAAUGGAGAUGCUCUUACAUGUGUGUUGGGGACCGCCCCACAACGCACCCUGAACGAGGCUGGCGGGAAUCCGUUCUCUUAACCGGCUAUAACCUUGUCACUCUCCCCUUUUACGAAGCUAACAAUUAACCAAAGUCAACUGGUGCGAAGAUGUCUAUUCUGUGAUUUUGCAGGCAAGGAAUCGUGAAGUAAAAGCCCUCACAAAGCUCCCAGCAAUUUGACUUCGGGGAGGAUCCGUGACCAGAAGCCGAAGUUAAAUGAUUUCGACCGAAGAAGGUGGAAAGCUCACGGAAGCUUGCUCAGCCCCCACGAAGCUGAUAAACGGGGAAGGAAAUGGUGAAGACAGCCCCUGGGGCCACAAUGGAGUAGGACAAUUUUGUAAUAAUAAUCUUGGCAAGAGGGUCAAAAGUGUAAUCCCACUGUGAAAGCGACAUCUUAAGUAGAGGCCAAGUUACUGUCCUGUACGGAAUAUACUUGGGAUAUAGUUGUUGGGUAUGGGCAUAACGGGAAUGCAGAAAUGUAACUUUAUGGCCCUAUAAAGGGAGACGAACCGUCCCUCCUUGGGACAGGCAUUAAUCACCGAUAGGAUAGCUACUGUUAUGUUUACUUGAACGGGUACUGUCUUCGUUUGUCGUGACAUUCUAACUGUUGCUUGGGUGAACCCCAACAUCUGGCGC